rnacentral:lncRNA from 10 species
GAGUCUAAAUUGUUGGUAGUAUUAACAUUCUAGCUUAAAUUGAUCAUAUUUAAAUUGAUCCUAGAUUGGAAAUAUGUAAGAAACUGCAGACUGAUAUGAAGGAGAUAAUAUAGGUAAUGAGCUAAUUUUAGAUUCCUGGAGUUGAAGAUAUUGAUGAAACACAUGAAUGCAGGGUAAAGGUAUAAAAAUGCAUAUCUAGGGUUUAGAAGAAUCUUCAGAAUUAUAUACUGAGAGUCAAGACUCCAUAGCAUAAAUGUGAUUGCUGUGGCUCACAUUGCAGACAUACCUCAUUUUAUUGUGCCUCACUUUAUUGUGCUAUGCAGAUAUUGCAUUUUAUAC